rfam:Crassostrea gigas strain 05x7-T-G4-1.051#20 contig8034, whole genome shotgun sequence.
GUCUCAAUAGCUCAGUGGUUAGAGCCCUGGCACGGUACGCCAGAGGCCCUGGGUUCGAGUCCCGGUUGAGACU